rnacentral:rRNA from 1 species
UACGUAGGGCGCAAGCGUUGUCCGGAAUUAUUGGGCGUAAAGAGCUCGUAGGCGGCUUGUCACGUCGGGUGUGAAAGCCCGGGGCUUAACCCCGGGUCUGCAUUCGAUACGGGCAGGCUAGAGUGUGGUAGGGGAGAUCGGAAUUCCUGGUGUAGCGGUGAAAUGCGCAGAUAUCAGGAGGAACACCGGUGGCGAAGGCGGCUCUCUGGACCAAUAUUGACGCUGAGGAACGAAAGUGCGGGGAUCAAACAGG